rnacentral:rRNA from 1 species
UAAUACGUAGGUGGCAAGCGUUGUCCGGAUUUAUUGGGUUUAAAGGGUGCGUAGGCGGCCCUGUAAGUCAGUGGUGAAAUAUCUCAGCUUAACUGAGAGGGUGCCAUUGAUACUGCAGGGCUUGAGUACAGAUGAGGUAGGCGGAAUUGACGGUGUAGCGGUGAAAUGCAUAGAUAUCGUCAAGAACACCGAUAGCGAAGGCAGCUUACUAAGCUGUAACUGACGCUGAGGCACGAAAGUGUGGGGAUCAAACAGGAUUAGAUACCCUGGUAGUCCACACUGUAAACGUUGAUGACUCGAUGUUGGCGAUACACAGCCAGCGUCCAAGAGCAAUCGUUAAGUCAUCCACCUGGGGAGUACGCCGGCAACGGUGAAACUCAAAUGAAUUGACGG